GCAUGCCACGAUGGUGCUCUGAUUGAGGUUGACGAAGCAGAUGCCAAAACCAUGUCCAUGCAUGCUAUGCUGCCAAAAACCGUCGAGUAAAAUUUGUGCGGGGACUGAGCAGACAAAGUGGAUUGUUUGGGAUUGGGUAGCAAAGUGGUCUUAAUUUCCUACAGAAAACAGAGUCCAAGAUUUGUUUUCCAUCACCGUUUAACCAUGGGUGAUGAAACAGUAAUAAGCACCAAAAUUCGUCAUGGGAUGGAGGAUCGAGAGCAGAUGGCAAAGAAAGGAUAAGAGAGGAACAAGGAGGCAAAAGCAUCUGCAUGACUGGACGCAGCAUGUUUGGGUUGGUCACUCGCUGCCCGACCUAUCCGGCCGUCCAGCCGCUGGUCGUCCACUGGUCACUCUCAGAGCAGCUUGGAACAAAACCAAACGAGGGACAGGAGAGCUGGAGAGAGGGACCCAGGGAAACCGAUGCAUGGCCGGUCCGAUGGAGCCAGAGGGACGGGACGCAGCCGGGAAGCCUCUCUUGGUAAGGGUGUCCGGGAGCAGCAGCGGUGAUGGCCAUGGCAGCGCCUCCUCUGCUUCGAUCGCGGUGGUCGUUGGCAGCACCGCCGUCGCCGUUGCCGGGUCCUUCGAGUUCGGAUUGUCGAUCGGCUACUCAUCGCCAUCUCAGUUGGGUAUCAUGCGUGAUCUUCACCUCUCCUUAGCUGAGUACUCUGUCUUCGGCUCGAUCUUGACCAUUGGAGCAAUGCUAGGUGCCAUUAUUAGUGGCUCCAUAGCAGAUUGGGCCGGUCGAAGAGGUGUAAGUGUUAACUGGACCAGCAAACUUCACCUUCUACAAAGCCAAAACAGUCAGCCAGACUGCCAGAAUGAUAGUUUCGUUUGUAUAUAUGCUCUCUAUCGAUUUGCGAAUAACCUCUUGAACGUCACGGAAUGCAGGCGAUGGCGAUAUCAGAUGUUAUCUACACUCUUGGAUAUCUCUUGAUAGCCUUUUCCCAGAAUUGUUGGUGGCUUGACAUUGGAAGGGUGUUAAUCGGAUGUGGAAUUGGAGUUCUUUCAUAUGUGGUUCCAGUAUACAUAUCAGAGAUAACGCCAAAGAACCUCAGAGGAGGCUUCGCAACUGUAAAUCAGUUUAUGAUAUGCUGUGGAGGGUCGCUUGCCUUUGUUCUUGGGACCUUUAUCGCCUGGCGUACCUUAGCAAUUGUUGGAGUGGCACCAUGUUUAUUGCAGCUGGUUGGCCUUCUUGCGAUUCCUGAAUCCCCCAGAUGGCUGGCUAGGUCUGGACACCCAGGUGCAUUUGUGGCAUCAUUGCAGAAGCUAAGGGGACACGGAACUGAUAUAUCUGAAGAGGCCUCAGAAAUAAAGGUUUUCACAGAAAAGCUUCAACGCCUACCAAAGUCAAAGAUGCUGGACCUGUUUCAGAAGGAUUACAUUCAUGCAGUUACAGUUGGAGUUGGGCUAAUGGUCUUUCAACAGCUUGGGGGAGUAAAUGGCAUUCUCUUCUAUGCCAGUGAAGUAUUCAUUUCGGCCGGUUUCUCGUCAGGAAACACAGGAACAGUCGCCAUGGCCAUUGUACAGAUUCCGAUGAUCGGAUUAGGGGUGCUUCUGAUGGACAAGGUUGGAAGGAGGCCACUUUUGAUGGUCUCUGCAGCUGGGACAUGCUUGGGAUGCCUACUAGUUGGUUUGUCAUUCUUAUCUAAGGAACAGCACUGGGAAAGAGACUUGAACGUGUUCGCUUUGGCUGGCCUUCUGGUUUCUUAUUGGAUCCUUUUCACUGGGCAUGGGGGGGAUACCAUGGGUCAUAAUGUCGGAGAUCUUUCCCAUAAACAUGAAAGGUUCGGCAGGAAGCCUUGUGACAUUAGUAAACUGGCUCGGUUCAUGGAUCGUCUCAUAUGCCUUCAACUUUCUCCUGAUAUGGAGCACUUAUGGAACAUUCUUCAUCUUUGCGAGCAUUUGCGGGAUCACAGUUGUGUUUGUGGAGCGGGAGAACCCAGGCCGGCCAGAGCCCAGAUGGAGCAUGAGGAUCAAGAAGCGCAGAAGCCUCUCCUGGCCACGGCCGCCGGGAGCAGCGGUGAUGGCCGCCGGGGAGCUGCCUCCUCCUCUUCGAUUGCGGUGGUGGUCGCCAGCACCGCCGUCGCCGUCACCGGAUCCUUCGAGUUCGGCAUCUCGGUGGGCUACUCGUCGCCUUCUCAGCCGGGCAUCAUGCGUGAUCUCGACCUCUCCUUAGCCGAGUACUCUGUCUUUGGCUCGAUACUAACCAUUGGAGCAAUGCUAGGAGCUAUUGUCAGUGGUACCGUGGCAGACUGUGUCGGCCGAAGAUGCACAAUGGCAAUAUCAGAUAUUCUCUGCAUUCUUGGAUAUCUCCUGAUAACUUUUUCCCAGAACUUUUGGUGGCUUGACAUCGGACGGGUCUCAAUUGGAUGUGGAAUCGGCCUUCUUUCAUAUGUGGUUCCAGUCUAUAUAUCAGAGAUAACACCAAAGAAUCUCAGAGGAGGAUUUGCAACUGUAAACCAGUUUAUGAUAUGUUGCGGUGCAUCGCUUGCAUAUGUUUUGGGGACCUUUAUAACUUGGCGUACCUUGGCAAUCAUUGGCGUGGCACCAUGUUUACUGCAGUUGGUUGGCCUUCUCGUGACUCCUGAAUCCCCUAGAUGGCUGGCAAGGUUUGGACACCCUGGUGCAUUUGAGGCAGAGUUGCAGAAGCUAAGGGGAAAGGGGGCUGAUAUAUCUGAGGAAGCAGAAGAAAUUAAAGAUUUCACAGAAAAGCUUCAGCACUUACCAAAGUCAAAGAUUUUGGACCUGUUUCAAAAGGAUUAUAUUCAUGCUGUUACAGUUGGAGUUGGGCUAAUGGUCCUUCAACAGUUUGGGGGAGUGAAUGCCAUUUGCUUCUAUGCCAGUGAAAUAUUUGUUUCAGCUGGUUUUUCGUCAGGAAACACAGGAAUGCUUGCUAUGGUUGCUGUCCAGAUUCCAAUGACGGGAUUAGGGGUACUUCUAAUGGAGAAGGCUGGAAGGAGGCCACUUUUGAUGGUCUCUGCUGCUGGAACAUGCCUGGGUUGCCUGCUAGUUGGUUUUUCAUUCUUAGCUAAGGAGCAUCACUGGGGAAAGGACCUGAACAUAUUGCUGGCUUUGGCAGGAAUUCUGACUUUCGGUGGAUCCUUUUCACUAGGCAUGGGAGGGAUACCAUGGGUUAUAAUGUCAGAGAUCUUUCCCAUAAACAUGAAGGGAGCAGCAGGAAGCCUUGUGACCCUAGUAAGCUGGCUCGGCUCAUGGAUCGUCUCAUAUGCCUUCAACUUUCUCCUGGUGUGGAACUCUUAUGGCACAUUCUUCAUCUUCGCAAGCAUCUGCGGCCUCACAGUUCUGUUUGUGGAGCGGCUAGUGCCAGAAACAAAAGGACGAACCCUAGAAGAGAUCCAAGCCUCCAUGAACUCGUCCUUAGUGGGCACCUCUCACAAAUGAUUUGCUUUUCUAGUUUAGAUAGCCAAAUAUGUAAAGUUGGGUCAUUAUCUGGGAAUACUUUUGUUUGUAGACGUCGGAGUUAGUAUAUCAUAUUUUACCAAUAUCAUAUGCAUACUGUAUUGCGAAGUGGGUGCCACUGAUUUUGGCUCAAA